CCUACGGGUGGCAGCAGUGAGGAAUAUUGGUCAAUGGACGAGAGUCUGAACCAGCCAAGUAGCGUGAAGGAUGACUGCCCUAUGGGUUGUAAACUUCUUUUAUAUGGGAAUAAAAUGUUCCACGUGUGGGAUUUUGUAUGUACCAUAUGAAUAAGGAUCGGCUAACUCCGUGCCAGCAGCCGCGGUAAUACGGAGGAUCCGAGCGUUAGCCGGAUUUAUUGGGUUUAAAGGGAGCGUAGGUGGAUUGUUAAGUCAGUUGUGAAAGUUUGCGGCUCAACCGUAAAAGUGCAGUUGAAACUGGCAGUCUUGAGUACAGUAGAGGUGGGCGGAAUGCGUGGUGUAGCGGUGAAAUGCUUAGAUAUCACGAAGAACUCCGAUUGCGAAGGCAGUUCACUGGACUGCAACUGACACUGAGGCUCGAAAGUGUGGGUAUCAAACAGGAUUAGAUACCCUUGUAGUC
rnacentral:rRNA from 1 species